rnacentral:lncRNA from 1 species
AAUGUUUCGCAGUCUAACAACUUAUUGCAGCAGGAAUAUUAUGGACAAAAGUAUUCCAAACAUCAAAUAUAUCAACAGUAUCAAGAGGAAAUGAGAAAACAUGAGGCAUCCUCACUAAACAAGAUAUGGUGCUGCUAUAAAAAAGAAAGAGAACCAUCUUGCAUUUAAUCAUGAUCUUACAAAGUCCAUAAAUAGGAUUACAAUAAUCUCUAGAAGUUUAACUUCAGAAAAAAUACAAUUACAAAUCAUAUAUUUAUCUGAUCAAUUUCAAUGCAUUGUGCUCUUACUAUUAAAGGAUUGUUCCAUAAAUUAUUACUUGUGUCAAAAGACUGGAGGGUCAUUUCAUGCUUUUGAGUUCACAAAGCGGCUAAUAACAACUCUUUUUCUUAAUAGACAGACCAUCUAAUAGCACAACCAUCAUGGCACUUCUCACUUAUUUGGCUUCAACUUUGUAACACUUCUUUCUCAAUCAACCACAAAGAUACCUGUAAGUUGCAAGGAUUUUAAGCAUGCUAAGCAGUACACAUGUUGCAUCAGCAAAGGAAUUUAAUGCACUCUUUUUAAUUAAAAAAAUACAACCCAUGAUACUGGCUUGACAUGCCAUGGCACACACCAGCCAGCAGAAAACAGCUCAGGCCAGCACCUGAAACCUUGGUUUUUUGGACUUUUCCCAUUCACAUACAACACCUCUUCAUAGUUUUACCUGUUUGUCUAUUUCAAAAACAAACUGUAAAUGUACAUAUCAAUACCUCAUGCUCCCUAGUUUUAUUAGAAGCUGAUUUGUUCGUGAUCAUGCUCAUACAUGACUGAAAUCUAUGCAAGCUCAGAUAUGCAAGGCAUUUUUUUCAUUUACUCUGAUAAUUGAAGGAAAGGGUGCUCCAAGUAAAAUUACAAACUUACUUCAGGGUUUUGGGUGUGGGAUGUCAUAUUUGGCUGUUCUUAUAUAAGCAUUCAGCUAUAGAGUAUGCAAAUUUUCUCUGCAGCCCAAGUCAAAUUAAAAUAAUAUUUAACAUAUUAUUAUAAUGGUCUGAAUAGACAAGUCCAAGAGUUACUUUUUGGAGGAAUCGAGAUUGACUGAGAAAGUUGGAGUCUCUCUUGUAAUAAUCUUUUAUUAUUUAAUAUGAUAAUCUUUAGGUUACAUAUAUGUGACCUCUUAGCCAGAUGGCUGUAAAUAUUAGGAUAAUCUUUUAUUAUUUAACUGUAUUUCAAGCGAACAAGAGCUUGAACUAUAAAAUAACAAAUACAUCACUGUCUUUUUCUUGAGAAAGUUCUAGAAAAAAUUCUUGGUUGUUCAGUACUCCAUCCAUUAUGAACAUUUUUCAAAUAGGUUAUUGGCAUUACAUGUCACAUGUACCACCAGCCAUGCUAGCCCAUACAGUUCUUAUCCACCUUCAUCAAUAUGUACUGUAGUGAUGCGCACUCACAUAUAUCAUGAAACUUGCAGAGUGCUCUCUUGGUUUUAACUCAUAUCAGGCAAUCCUGCAUAGAGUUGCUUUUAUGCAACAUAUUCAAAAGCCAUUCUCUUUAGUUUUUGCCUCUUGUGCAUUUUUUAAAAAAAAAAUUAAGGCCCAAUCUACAAAGUAAACGCAGCAACAAUAAAAUAUCAUUUUCUACACUGGACCAAUGGAAUGAGCUAAUGGUA